AUUGAACGCUGGCGGCAGGCCUAACACAUGCAAGUCGAACGGUAACAGGAAGAAGCUUGCUUCUUUGCUGACGAGUGGCGGACGGGUGAGUAAUGUCUGGGAAACUGCCUGAUGGAGGGGGAUAACUACUGGAAACGGUAGCUAAUACCGCAUAACGUCGCAAGACCAAAGAGGGGGACCUUCGGGCCUCUUGCCAUCGGAUGUGCCCAGAUGGGAUUAGCUAGUAGGUGGGGUAACGGCUCACCUAGGCGACGAUCCCUAGCUGGUCUGAGAGGAUGACCAGCCACACUGGAACUGAGACACGGUCCAGACUCCUACGGGAGGCAGCAGUGGGGAAUAUUGCACAAUGGGCGCAAGCCUGAUGCAGCCAUGCCGCGUGUAUGAAGAAGGCCUUCGGGUUGUAAAGUACUUUCAGCGGGGAGGAAGGGAGUAAAGUUAAUACCUUGGCUCAUUGACGUUACCUGCAGAAGAAGCACCGGCUAACUCCGUG
rnacentral:rRNA from 1 species